GAAUUCACAAGGGAUAUUAUCAAUAGCUGCAUGUCUAGAAAUCAAAUCACCAAAGGCAUAACUGAUGCGUUCAAGGGUCUGAGUAAGCAC